GCUCACGCUCAUCGGGAGACCAAAACCAAUUUCUCCUCUCGGUCCCUGUUGUAGCCUCUAUAAAGCCUUGUAUCCACAAAGUCCACUUCUUACCCAAGUAAUGGGCCGGACACAUCCUUGCUUGAAGCAAGGGGACCGACCAAACAUUGUUUGGAGUCACAGACAAUCAGCGAAACGUUGAUUUUUUUCAUUAUUUUGUUUGUUUAUUUUUUUAAGCUCCUGGUUAUACCAAUAAAAAAAAUAUAGAACUGUCACAUCAAUAGCCUCUCUAGAGCCGAUCCCAUGGAUAUCCGGUUAUGUCAAUAAACUUUUUCCAUUAGAAGUUGUGUUGGUGGAUCGUCACCUCAACGACCCCCUAGAGUCGGCCCACAGGUAUUGAUGGAGAUAAAUUUAGGUACGGAGGCUACAUGAUUUACCUUUCUCAUUUCGCUAUGGUCCAGUGGUGAGGAGGCGUUCGGGAUGAACAAAUCAUCUUUUUUGCUUUCUUAUUUAUGAAAUUUUAUUCAUUUAUAGUGCUAAUCAUGCCUAAGCUUGGAUUGAAGGGAUUAAAAAUUUGCUAGAAUAUUGAAUCCAUAAAAAUAUUUCAACAUAAACAUGCUAGAUGAUUAUAUAAAUUGAAAAUACUCUACUUCUUUGAACCUCUAAAAUAAGAUUAAAUUAUGCACAUAUUUUCUUUGAACCUCUAAAAUAAGAUUAAAUUAUGCACAUAUUUUCUGAUUAUCCACUUGACAAUUUAUACUUACUAUUUGUUUUUCUUGACCUCCAAUUUUACUAGCACUAUCUUGAUAUUAUAAUUGAUUUCAGCUGGUACAAAUAAUUGUUUAGAGAUCUUGACUAGCUAAUUCCGUAAUUUUUAUUUCAUAGUAUUUUUGUUUUGUUUCAUUUGUUAUUUUAUCCAUAUAGUUUUCGUUCUAUGAAAAAAAUGAUAUAAAUAAAUAAAUUUGAUGAAUUUCUUGAUUACUAUGUUUAUAUGCCUUUGUAGGUCUUUUUAUUAUAAUGUCACCGAGAAGGGUAUCUCCUGAUGUAUGAAAAUUACGUUCCGGGUCUCCGGAACGUGACAAGACCGAACAUGCUUCGAGAUAGUACAUAAAGAUCAGUGACAUUCAGUUGAUCCUUGUAAUUCUCGCCAUACAGUUAUCGACUGGACGAGGAAUCGGCAAGUAUUGAACAUGGCAGUUCGGAUUUAGCCUUUCAAGCCUGCAAGUUAAUUCAGAAGAAAAGCAUUGCAGUAUCAAAAUCAGCAUUAUAUAUUGAUUCAUCAUAUUGUGAUUCCUAACAUGUUCAAAAGCCCAAACUGAAGUGUUGAAGAACUCACUGAUAGUCUAGAAGGAAAUGGUGCAGGAAUACCAAUAUCUCUAUCCUGGCAAGAUCUCUGCCCGGGCACAACCUGCUUCCUCCUCCGAAGGGAAGAAAAGUCCCUGCUUUUGGUACAAAAUCCUAGAACACUCGAAGCAGGAAACUUCAUCAAUGUAUAAUUGAGACCCCCAAAAGCGAGUAAAUCAGUGUUCUACUUACAUCCCAUCUAGAUGAGUUGAACUUGUAAGGCUCAGGGUAGGAUUGAGGAUCCAUGUUAACAUUUCGAUACCAUAGCUGAAUUCUCCAUCCCUUCGGUAUCAAGUAGCCUGCAAAUUAUUGAAUGUUCACUUUGCGUACGAUAAGAGAUUAGUAGCUCUAUAAGGACACAAACCAUUGAGAUAUGUGUCUUUUGUUGCUUUCCGGAAAGCCACAAAUGAGAUGUUAAUGAUGCGUAGCGUCUCAUCGAUGACCUUUACGAAGAACAAGGGAAGAAUUUUGUAGUCAAGACGAAGUCAUGGAUGCAUUAUCGUUGAUACUAAUAGUAUUCGCACCUUCGAAAGAUUGAGAGGCCAAGCAAAUGGUUAUUGUGCGAUAUUAUAUACCUUUGCUUUCUCGAAAACAUCUGGAUGUUCUUGAAGAAACACAGUUGCCCACAUGGAAAUAUGCCCGGAUGAUUCAUGGCCAGCAUUGAGGUACAUAAUU